AUUUUACAAGAUUUUUAUUAAAAUUGUUAAUAGAUAACUGUUGUCAGUAGUGAUAAAAUAAAUAGCUUAAAUACUUGAUGAGAUCUCUAAAAGUGCUAUGAAUCCAUACUGUGGACCAAUCCUAACUAUUUUUUCUCUAUUACAGGAGCAAUGCCAUUAACUGAAAAAAAUUUUUUUCUACAAAAUAAUUUUUAAGGAUAUGCAUACUGGUAAUCCCUGUAUCCAUCACUGUGUUCCUGUCCUUCUUACCGUGGAUUCUACUCACAGAAACUUCCCCUCUGUGUGGGGCUUUUCCUUGGAGGGUUCUUUGGCUGAUGAAUUUAGAGAAGUCCUGGGACUCAGACUGCCCCAGCACUGAUUGUUUCUACAGCAUCCUUCACGCACCUGCAAAUGCAGCCUGCACCAUUCAUGGCCAGUUCUGUUGUCCUCUGCUAUCCCUCUCUUUCACUAGUAGAAAUUUGUGUGUGGAUGAAUGUUAUGUUCUCUGGUUUACAAGGACAUUCGAAAUUGCUUUACUUUCCCUCCCCAUCUUUAUUCACAGUUGUUGAAAUGAUCCUGGUGUGGUCUGAGGUUUGUGUCAACCCUCAUGUGUUUUGAGAAAGGUAGGGCUACCCGGUCACCACGUAUUAUUGUAGAUAUUGUCUAUAGGCCACUGGCUCUGAUGUCCUGUAGAUAGUGAAGAUGGUUUUCCUAAUAUAAUGUGUGUGGGGGGGGGCAGGGGGUGGAUCAGGAAUGAUUUUAAAACUACGCUGUUGCUGCUGCUGCCUUGUCCAUCACCUCACCUAUUCAUUUUUUACUAAUUUUUUACGGAUGUUUUCCUUGCCUUUAUUUCCUUAAGGAUUAUUAAACUCAUUUGUUUAGGGUACUUUUUGGGGUUUUGUGUCAUUAUUUCUAGUGUGAUUUCUCC
rnacentral:lncRNA from 1 species